GAUGAACGCUAGCGGCAGGCUUAAUACAUGCAAGUCGAGGGGCAGCAGGGUGUAGCAAUACAUCGCUGGCGACCGGCAAACGGGUGCGGAACACGUACGCAACCUUCCUUCAAGUGGGGAAUAGCCCGGGGAAACCCGGAUUAAUACCCCGUAAUAUUAUGAGGCGGCAUCACCUUAUAAUUAUAGUUCCGACGCUUGAAGAUGGGCGUGCGCCUGAUUAGGUAGUUGGCGGGGUAACGGCCCACCAAGCCUACGAUCAGUAACUGGUGUGAGGGCACGACCAGUCACACGGGCACUGAGACACGGGCCCGACUCCUACGGGAGGCAGCAGUAAGGAAUAUUGGUCAAUGGAUGCAAGUCUGAACCAGCCAUGCCGCGUGGAGGAUGAAGGUCCUCUGGAUUGUAAACUUCUUUUAUUUGGGAAGAAAAAAGGUCUUUCUAGAUCGUCUGACGGUACCUUAUGAAUAAGCACCGGCUAACUACGUGCCAGCCGCCGCCGUAAAAC
rnacentral:rRNA from 1 species